GUUAGGAAUAUUGGACAAUGGGCGAAAGCCUGAUCCAGCCAUGCCGCGUGAACGAUGAAGGCCUUCGGGUUGUAAAGUUCUUUAGCCGAUGAUUAUAAUGACUGUAGUCGGAAAAUAAGCCCCGGCUAACUUCGUGCCAGCAGCCGCGGUAAUACGAAGGGGGCGAGCGUUAUUCGGAAUCACUGGGCGUAAAUCGUGCGUAGGCGGUUUUGUAAGUUAGGAGUGAAAGCCCAGGGCUCAACCUUGGAAUUGCUCUUAAAACUGCAAGGCUCGAAUCUCGGAGAGGAUAGCGGAAUUUCCAGUGUAGCAGUGAAAUGCGUAGAUAUUGGAAGGAACACCAGUGGCGUAAGCGGCUAUCUGGACGAGUAUUGACGCUGAGGCACGAAAGCGUGGGGAUCAAACAGGAUUAGAAACCCGUGUAGUCC
rnacentral:rRNA from 1 species